rnacentral:rRNA from 1 species
CCUACGGGCGGCAGCAGUGGGGAAUAUUGGACAAUGGGGGGAACCCUGAUCCAGCCAUGCCGCGUGUGUGAAGAAGGCCCUCGGGUUGUAAAGCACUUUCAGUGAGGAAGAACGCCUGGUGGUUAAUACCCAUCAGGAAAGACAUCACUCACAGAAGAAGCACCGGCUAACUCCGUGCCAGUAGCCGCGGUAAUACGGAGGGUGCGAGCGUUAAUCGGAAUUACUGGGCGUAAAGCGCGCGUAGGUGGCUUGAUAAGCCGGUUGUGAAAGCCCCGGGCUCAACCUGGGAACGGCAUCCGGAACUGUCAAGCUAGAGUGCAGGAGAGGAAGGUAGAAUUCCCGGUGUAGCGGUGAAAUGCGUAGAGAUCGGGAGGAAUACCAGUGGCGAAGGCGGCCUUCUGGACUGACACUGACACUGAGGUGCGAAAGCGUGGGUAGCAAACAGGAUUAGAUACCCCAGUAGUC